AUGCAAGUCGAACGAACCUUCGGGUUAGUGGCGGACGGGUGAGUAACGCGUGUGAAUCUGCCCUCAGGAGGGGGACAACAGCUGGAAACGGCUGCUAAUACCCCAUAUGCCGCGAGGUGAAAUGAAUUUCGCCUGAGGAUGAGCUCGCGUCUGAUUAGCUAGUUGGUGUAGGUAAUGGCUCACCAAGGCAUCGAUCAGUAGCUGGUCUGAGAGGAUGAUCAGCCACACUGGGACUGAGACACGGCCCAGACUCCUACGGGAGGCAGCAGUGGGGAAUUUUCCGCAAUGGGCGAAAGCCUGACGGAGCAACGCCGCGUGAGGGAUGAAGGCCUCUGGGCUGUAAACCUCUUUUAUCAAGGAAGAAGAUCUGACGGUACUUGAUGAAUAAGCCACGGCUAAUUCCGUGCCAGCAGCCGCGGUAAUACGGGAGUGGCAAGCGUUAUCCGGAAUUAUUGGGCGUAAAGCGUCCGCAGGCGGCCCUUCAAGUCUGCUGUUAAAAAGUGGAGCUUAACUCCAUCAUGGCAGUGGAAACUGUUGGGCUU
rnacentral:rRNA from 1 species